rnacentral:rRNA from 1 species
GCAAGUCGAGCGAAUGGAUUAAGAGCUUGCUCUUAUGAAGUUAGCGGCGGACGGGUGAGUAACACGUGGGUAACCUGCCCAUAAGACUGGGAUAACUCCGGGAAAACCGGGGCUAAUACCGGAUAACAUUUUGAACUGCAUGGUUCGAAAUUGAAAGGCGGCUUCGGCUGUCACUUUAUGGAUGGACCCGCGUCGCAUUAGCUAGUUGGUGAGGUAACGGCUCACCAAGGCAACGAUGCNGUAGCCGACCUGAGAGGGUGAUCGGCCACACUUGGGACUGAGACACGGCCCAGACUCCUACGGGAGGCAGCAGUAGGGAAUCUUCCGCAAUGGACGAAAGUCUGACGGAGCAACGCCGCGUGAGUGAUGAAGGCUUUCGGGUCGUAAAACUCUGUUGUUAGGGAAGAACAAGUGCUAGUUGAAUAAGCUGGCACCUUGACNGGUACCUAACCAGAAAGCCACGGCUAACUACGUGCCAGCAGCCGCGGUAAUACCGUAGGUGGCAAGCGUUAUCCGGAAUUAUUGGGCGUAAAGCGCGCGCAGGUGGUUUCUUAAGUCUGAUGUGAAAGCCCACGGCUCAACCGUGGAGGGUCAUUGGAAACUGGGAGACUUUGAGUGCAGAAGAGAAAGUGGAAUUCCAUGUGUAGCGGGUGAAAUGCGUAGAGAUAUGGAGGAACACCAGUGGCGAAGGCGACUUUCUGGUCUGUAACUGACACUGAGGCGCGAAAGCGUGGGGAGCAAACAGGAUAGAUACCCUGGUAG